AGUGGGAUAGUUGGGUCAAAUGGUGGUUCCAUUCCAACUUUUCUGAGGAGUAUCCAAACUGCUUUCCAUAUUGGUUGCAUCAAUUUGCAUUCCCACCAGCAAU
rnacentral:pre_miRNA from 1 species